AUUGAACGCUGGCGGCAGGCCUAACACAUGCAAGUCGAGCGGAUGAAGGGAGCUUGCUCCUGGAUUCAGCGGCGGACGGGUGAGUAAUGCCUAGGAAUCUGCCUGGUAGUGGGGGAUAACGUCCGGAAACGGGCGCUGAUACCGCAUACGUCCUGAGGCAGAAAGUGGGGGAUCUUCGGACCUCACGCUAUCAGAUGAGCCUAGGUCGGAUUAGCUAGUUGGUGGGGUAAAGGCCUACCAAGGCGACGAUCCGUAACUGGUCUGAGAGGAUGAUCAGUCACACUGGAACUGAGACACGGUCCAGACUCCUACGGGAGGCAGCAGUGGGGAAUAGUGGACAAAGGGCGAAAGCCUGAUCCAGCCAUGCCGCGUGUGUGAAGAAGGUCUUCGGAUUGUAAAGCACUUUAAGUUGGGAGGAAGGGCAGUAAGUUAAUACCUUGCUGUUUUGACGUUACCAACAGAAUAAGCACCGGCUAACUUCGUG
rnacentral:rRNA from 1 species